UAGUCCGCUUCAUGUGAUAAUCGCAGUAAACAUCACUUGAAGCGAUGUAUAAUCACGCCCAUGGAAACAGGUUGCUCAACAUUUGAUGAAACAUGUCAUGAUUUAUGUACAACUUUGAGAAUUUUGCUUAGGUACAGUUUAUGAGGCGAUGGGUCCGCCCAUGGCCAGCUAUACAUGAGGCCCAUGACUCCCGCCUUCUUCAUGCCUCUCCCUUCCUUCUCUUGCAUAUCUUUCUUUUUAAAUCAAGCUUACCUAUAAAAAUAUUUUAUCUUACUCGUGCAAGCCCUGUUUUAAAUGUUUAAAUGCCAAUUGCACCGAUAUGUUCUAUGUGACGAGACAAACAAAAAUAAAUUCCACUUGUAUAUAUUUUGAAGCUUCAAUAUACAUAUUAUACGCAUAAGUUGGUGCACAUGUAUAAUUACAGGGAUAGCAAUUUAUGAGUAAAUUGGAGCUUCGAUAUAUAUAUAUAUAAGUUUCUACACGUAUAAUAGAUUAUAUGUUUGUGGCAACUUUUGAUUUAUAUGCUAUGCACGUAAGUUAAUACUUACGUACUGACAACUUACACACACUACAAAUGAUGUUAAACCUAAAUUUUCAUAUAAGUUGCUUGUAGUGUGUAAGUUAAUAUAGAAAUUGUCACAAAUAAAAGUUUUUACUCACGUAAAAUUAAAAGUUGCCAAAAAAUAGAAUCUAUUAUACGCAUAAGUUGGUUCACAUGUCUAUCUAUACUAUAAAGAUUGAAAAUAAUUGAAAUUUUUUUUACUCAGAUUGGGUCCACCGUAGCCCUCACACUAAACCCAUAUGUAAGGAGCGAGGAGGUGGAAGGAUGUGUAAACCUAUAGAAAUAAUAUGUUAGAGGAUGUUUCUGCCCAGAACUAAAUUUUUUUCUCGCCACCUCCAAACGUACCGCCGCGACGCACGCCGCCACGGCGCCACAGGCCCACAGCCUCCUCACUCUCCUGGCGCUCGGUUCGCGCCCCCUCCUGCCGCUCGCCGCCACGGCCUGUUCGCCGCGCCGCACGCCGCCACGACCUCCUUCCCCUCCUGUCGCUCGCUGCGUGCCCAAUGGCGCUCGCCGCCGCCACGUCCUCCACCCCCUCGAGCCGCUCGCCACCGCAUCGGCCUCCUCCCUCUCCCGCGGUCCCGUUCUGUCGCCGGAUGUGACAUGGAUCAAGCACAGGUUCCGCCUUCAAAGCAUAUUUUUCUUUUCGAUCCGUGCACCCUCGCAGCUCUUCGAUUCGCUGGCGGUGGCUGAUGGUUCUACAUCGCGGAAGCCACCAAAUCCCCAAUCCCCAUCGUCUACCUCAUUCCUUGCUAGCCGCGCCGCGCCGGUGCCAAUGAGCACCUCAAAUCAUGUUUGUUUUCUUCCAAAUUGACUGCUUUGGCAGCACCCGCCACCGUUGAAGACGCUCGAUUCAGCCUGCUCGGACGAUUCAAAGACCAAAGAUGCUCCUGGUCCAGCCUGCUUCGUCGAUGCGCCACCGAAUAUGCUCCCGAUGCAACCUGCUCCAUGGAUGGGCGACCGGAGAUCUCCCUGAUCCUCAACCCAAAAGUUCUGACUGCUGAUAAUUGCAAAUUUUGUUGAUCUAUUGGCAAAUGAAUUUGUGAUCCCAAGCGACAGCCAAGAGUAUCCUGCAGUUGUUCUUGACUGAGCAGCCACAAAUAUCAACCAUGCUAAUUCAAUAUGGAUCUGAUUCCCUUUUGUUUAGCAGCCGAUUCCCCUUAGUUUCCCCUUAGUUUUGAUUUCUUUUUUCUUCGACGUUCAUCCAACUUUUUAGUUCUUUUCCAUGCUGUUCAAGGAUGCAGCCAAGUUGUUCGACGAAAUGCUGGCCAAGGGAAAGGUGGAGCCAACUGCAGUGAUGUACAACACAUUCAUGACAGGCUAGGAAAACUGGAUAUGCUGCGUUGUGAUGCUGGGAGGACUGUGAUGCUGGGAGGAUAUGGUAGGGAGGGGAUUUUCAUGAUGCUUGUGGGCUACACUUGUGCAUGCAUUGUUUAUGGUCGGACGUGAAGUAGUACGUGGACUUCCAGCAAACAUUUGCUAUAAGCCUAUAACAAGUUUUACUUUAUUUCUACCUGGCAAAUUUUAUGAUAAUAUUUUAUUUGGCUUGUAUGCAGUAUGCUUACUUUUUGUUCAUGUGUUUCUAGAUUUUAGGAGAUGUCAUGCUCAAUAACAGCGCUUGCUAAUGUUCAUGCACCUUUCUAUUUA